UGGAAAAUUAAGGGCGUCCCAGUGUUUGCAGUUGUCGGGAGGGGUGAAGUAGACGAGGAAGGGGCAGUUGGACACACUAGCUGUACCUCACCUCUCUGACUUGAAACGGAUCUCGACUUCUGCCUUCCCUGUUUUAGCAUUAGGAGAGCCACCCCCUUUUCCCGCCCUCACAGUCUUCUCUAUCGAAAAUUGAAAAUCGUUAACUGGUGCCUUUCCCGGUACAGAGCCCCCACCUCAGCUGCUCCAAGUACUUACAAGGAUCCGCAGGGGGAGCGUGACACAGAGGGUCACGGAAAUGCUACCAAAGCAAUGCCAAGGAGGAUGUUCAUCUCUUGCCCGUCAAAAGUGCCUGAAGGCCGGGCUGGCACUGAGUCGUCUCCACGGGAGGGAUGUGCCUGCAGGAAGGAGAAAGAAAGAUCUGCAUUCUGCUGGCCCCAGGGGACCAUGACGAGGAGGAGACCGGUAGUGUUUACUGAACAAAUAACAAGCAAAUUUCUCUACAGCCUUGGUCCCGGAGGUACAUCCAGAACCUCUCGUCACUGCCACAUCCCUUCUAAGUUAUCAGCCGUCACUACUUGGAAGACGUCACCCACGUUCGCCGUGAAUCUGCUCUCCACCAAAUGCAAAACGGAACAACACAGCCUGGAACCCUGCAUUCUUCCUCCGUUUGCAUCCGUGUUCUAAAUAGGAUUUCAUUCACGUGUCACUGAACACCAAGGACCAUUUGUCUUUCCAACAGAAACCGAAAGGGCUUAUGCCGUAGAAAUCACCGAAGGCAUGAUGGGUGGAGCGGACUUUGAAUGCAGUACUUACUGUCUCCAGUUUUUCACCUGGAUCGUUGAAAGAAGCGGCUGUUUCAUCCGUCCUCUGGUUUCCCCAUUUUUUUUUAAUGUUUAUUCAUUUUGGAGAGAGAGCAUGAGCUGGGGAUGGAUGGGCAGAGAGGAAAAGAGGACAGAAGAUCCCAAGCAGGCUCCGUGCUGACAGCCAGCAAGCCUAAUGCAGGGCUCGAACUCAGGAGCUGUGAGAUCGUGACCUGAGUUGAAUUUGGACGCUCAACCGGCUGAGCCACACAGGCGCCCCUGGUUUCCCCAUUUGUAUAAUGAGAUUCUAUAUCUGGACCUUCCUUUUUUUUAGUGUUUUUUUUUUUUUUUACAUUUAUUUAUUUAUUUAUUGAGAGAGAGAGAGAGAGACAGAGCGUGAGCAGGGGAGGGGCAGAGAGAGAGGGAGACACAGAAUCCGAAGCAGGCUCCAGGCUCCAGGCUCCGAGCUGUCAGCACAGAGCCCGAUGCGGGGCUCGAACUCACAGACCACGAGAUCAUGACCUGAGCCGAAGUCGGACGCUCAACUGACUGAGCCACCCAGGCGCCCCUGUAUUUGGACCUUCAGAUGGCUUGCUUGUGCCCACUCCUGCGUCAGCUUGGUUCUGUUAUUUCGUGGAAUGGGAUUCAAGGGUGCUCCUGAGUGGCAGAAGGUUGUCCUCUUCUGAGCCGUGAUGAAUGGGAACAGAGCAGAAUUACACGGCCGCCUCGGAUGCCACAACCCCACUAAAGGUAGGAUCACGGUGGCCGACAGAAAUGGCUAGAACACCGUUCUGUGAUGUAGAGUGUAUGUAAGUAAAGAAAAGUUAAAACUUCUUGGAUUACAUUGACAUACCCGGGGUACCUGGCUGGCUCAGUCGGUAGAG
ensembl:lncRNA